rnacentral:rRNA from 1 species
CCUACGGGAGGCUGCAGUGGGGAAUAUUGGACAAUGGGGGGAACCCUGAUCCAGCCAUGCCGCGUGUGUGAAGAAGGCCCUCGGGUUGUAAAGCACUUUCAGUGAGGAAGAACGCCUGGUGGUUAAUACCCAUCAGGAAAGACAUCACUCACAGAAGAAGCACCGGCUAACUCCGUGCCAGCAGCCGCGGUAAUACGGAGGGUGCGAGCGGUAAUCGGAAUUACUGGGCGUAAAGCGCGCGUAGGUGGCUUGAUAAGCCGGUUGUGAAAGCCCCGGGCUCAACCUGGGAACGGCAUCCGGACCUGUCAAGCUAGAGUGCAGGAGAGGAAGGUAGAAUUCCCGGUGUAGCGGUGAAAUGCGUAGAGAUCGGGAGGAAUACCAGUGGCGAAGGCGGCCUUCUGGACUGACACUGACACUGAGGUGCGAAAGCGUGGGUAGCAAACAGGAUUAGAUACCCUAGUAGUC